rnacentral:lncRNA from 1 species
GGACUCUUACGGGAGCCGGGCUCCAUCCACGAUGCCAAGGAAGACUCCACCCAGACUCCUACGGGAGUCAGGCUCCAUCCACGAUGCCAAGGAAGACUCCACUUGGACUCCUAUGGGAGCCGGGCUCCGUCCACGACGCCAAGGAAGACUCCACCCGGACUCCUACGGGAGCCGGGCUCCAUCCACGAUGCCAAAGAAGACUCCACCCGGACUCCUACGGGAGCCGAGCUCCGCCCACGACUCCAAUCAUAGGAGGGUUCCGUCCGGACUCCCACGGGAGCCGAACUUCGCCUUGACUUCAGCGGAGAAAAAUUUUGGGCGAAAAGGAAAAAGGAAGGCAACAGACCAUG